rnacentral:rRNA from 1 species
UACGAAGGGUGCAAGCGUUACUCGGAAUUAUUGGGCGUAAAGCGUGCGUAGGCGGUUCGUUAAGUCUGAUGUGAAAGCCCUGGGCUCAACCUGGGAAUGGCAUUGGAUACUGGCGGCCUAGAGUGCGGUAGAGGGGUGUGGAAUUCCCGGUGUAGCGGUGAAAUGCGUAGAUAUCGGGAGGAACAUCUGUGGCGAAGGCGACACCCUGGACAAGCACUGACACUGAGGCACGAAAGCGUGGGGAGCAAACAGG